rnacentral:rRNA from 1 species
GGGAUUGCCCCAGUAACGGCGAGUGAAGCGGCAAGAGCUCAAAUUUGAAAUCUGGCCCCUCCGGGGUCCGAGUUGUAAUUUGCAGAGGAUGCUUCGGGCGCGGUCCCCGUCUAAGUACCCUGGAACGGGUCGUCAUAGAGGGUGAGAAUCCCGUCUGGGACGGGUGGCCGUGUCCGUGUGAAGCUCCUUCGACGAGUCGAGUUGUUUGGGAAUGCAGCUCUAAAUGGGUGGUAAAUUUCAUCUAAAGCUAAAUAUUGGCCGGAGACCGAUAGCGCACAAGUAGAGUGAUCGAAAGAUGAAAAGCACUUUGAAAAGAGAGUUAAACAGCACGUGAAAUUGUUGAAAGGGAAGCGCUUGCGACCAGACUCGCCCGCGGGGGUUCAGCCGGUACUCGUACCGGUGUACUCCCCCGGGGGCGGGCCAGCGUCGGUUUGGGCGGUCGGUCAAAGGCCUCCGGAAUGUGUCGCCCCCCGGGGCGUCUUAUAGCCGGAGGUGCAAUGCGGCCAGCCUGGACCGAGGAAC